CGUGGGUUAUUCCAACGUAAGAGAGCAUUCCGCGAGAGACAUGCGUGUCUGGCUCCUUCUCCUCGGUACGUUACUGGCGACUGCUCUAAGUGUGGUUCGGGGCGCCGCAACAACGAGAAUGGUUUGUGACUGUCGCGUCGUUUCGACUCAAAAACAUAGCGGGGAGUAUCUGGAUAGAGAUCCGGCCAACGAAUCAUAUAAACCAUACACACAUCGGACCGAGCUUGACGAUGGAUCAGACAGUUCAGCUCUGAAACCGAUCAGCGGGGCAGAUGCGAACGACGUCGCAGGAGUUUUCGUUUACUAAUGAGCAUGGUGACCAGUGGACGAAGCAGCCUCAUCGCCGAGGAUAUUAUUAUAUAAAUAAUAAUGAAUUAUAUAAUAUCUAUGUAUUUUAUGUCGGAUAUUAACGGAGAGAUCGCGAAUAUAUCCUCAUCAGUCAUCGGCCGGGCCCGAGACAAUGAUCUCACUAAAAACAGGCAAGAUCUCUCGACGAGGACGGGACUCGAACGCACGCGGGCAGAGCCCAUCGGAUUAGCGGUCCUACGCCUCAACUAUUCGGCUACCUCGUCUUCAUUAGCAUUCGAGUCCUUGCGGCUCUAAUAC